GCAAGUCGAGGGGUAACAUAGUAGCUUGCUACUGAUGACGACCGGCGCACGGGUGCGUAACGCGUAUAGAAUCUCCUAUUACAGAGGGAUAGCCUUUAGAAAUGAAGAUUAAUACCUCAUAGUACUGUUUUACUGCAUGGUAAAAUAGUUAAAGAUUUAUCGGUAAUAGAUGAUCAUGCGUCCUAUUAGCUAGUUGGUAUGGUAACGGCAUACCAAGGCAACGAUAGGUAGGGGUCCUGAGAGGGAGAUC
rnacentral:rRNA from 1 species